GACGACGCUGGCGGCGUGCCUAACACAUGCAAGUCGAGCGGGGUUGAAGCGAGAGGUAACUCGAACUUCUACCUAGCGGCGGACGGGUGAGUAACGCGUGGGCAACCUGCCUCAAGGGUCUGGGAUAACAGCCCGAAAGGGCUGCUAAUACCGGGUAUGCUUGUGGCCUCGCAUGGGCUACGAGCAAAGGGGAAACCCGCCUUGAGAUGGGCCCGCGUCCCAUCAGCUAGUUGGUGAGGUAACAGCUCACCAAGGCGACGACGGGUAGCCGGCCUGAGAGGGUGACCGGCCACACUGGGACUGAGACACGGCCCGGACUCCUACGGGGGGCAGCAGUGGGGGAUCUUGCACAAUGGGCGAAAGCCUGAUGCAGCGACGCCGCGUGAGCGAAGAAGGCCUUCGGGUUGUAAAGCUCUGUCUGGAGGGACGAAGGAAGUGACGGUACCUCCGGAGGAAGCCACGGCUAACUACGUG
rnacentral:rRNA from 1 species